rnacentral:lncRNA from 1 species
UGUCGUUGUCAUGGGAACGCGGGAGGGCGGUCUAGCGUCCGGCUCCCCUUAGCGGCUACUCUGGGAACAACCCCGCAUCCCCCGCGCGUCCAGUGCCACAGUGAGGGGUGGGCGUUGAGCGGGGUUGGCUGGGAGUGGGAGCAGAAGACUUUACUGGAGGAGGAGAUAUAAAUCGGAGCAAACCUCUAGAGCUGAUACUGAUGCCCUCUUUGCCAAGCUUUGAGGCUGGUUAUUUAUUUCCUAAAAGUUGGCCUUGAAUCAUUUAUGAUGAUGAUGACUGAGGACCAUUUAUAACCUACUUAGUCACAGGGGCUGAAAAAACACUACCCACGAUGCUCGAUUUAAUCUUCAUAAAAGCCCUGUAAUGGUUUCGUUCCCCUUCAUGUUUCUGCUGCUCUUGCUCCCCACAACUCACAACCUGUCUCCUGUCCUCCUUAAGUAAUUAACUUUGCAGCCCCCCUGCUAACAUUUGCUCCCCAGAGAGGUAAG